rnacentral:rRNA from 1 species
GGUGAGGUAACGGCUCACCUAGGCCACGAUGCAUAGCUGACCUGAGAGGAUGAUCGGCCACAUUGGGACUGAGACACGGCCCAGACUCCUACGGGAGGCAGCAGUAGGGAAUAUUGGGCAAUGGGCGCAAGCCUGACCGAGCCACGCCGCGUGUAGUGAAGAAGGCUUUCGGAUCGUAAAACUCUGUUGUUAGAGAAGAACAGGGAUGAGAGUAUACGUUCGAUCCAUUGACGGUAUCUGACCAGGAAGCCCACGGCUAACUACGUGCCAGCAGCCGCGGUAAUACGUAGGGGGCAAGCGUUGUCCGGAUUUACUGGGCGUAAAGCGCGCGCAGGCGGUUUGUUAAGUCUGAUGUGAAAGCCCCGGGCUCAACCGGGGAGGUCAUUGGAUACUGGGAACUUGAGUGCAGAGAGGAGAGUGGAUUCCAUGUGUAGCGGUGAAAUGCGUAGAUAUAUGGAGGAACACCAGUGGCGAAGGCGGCUCUCUGGUCUGUGACUGACGCUGAGGCGCGAAAGCGUGGGGA